UAAACUUGAAUGUGGAGUAGC
rnacentral:piRNA from 1 species